UACGUAGGUGACAAGCGUUGUCCGGAUUUACUGGGCGUAAAGAGCGCGCAGGCGGUCGACCAAGUCGAGUGUGAAAGCCCCCGGCUCAACUGGGGAGGGUCAUUCGAUACUGAUCGACUCGAAGGCAGGAGAGGGUAGUGGAAUUCCCGGUGUAGUGGUGAAAUGCGUAGAUAUCGGGAGGAACACCAGUGGCGAAGGCGACUACCUGGCCUGUUCUUGACGCUGAGGUGCGAAAGCUAGGGGAGCAAACGGG
rnacentral:rRNA from 1 species